UACCCGCGCCCCUAGUGGUGGUCGAUAUUAUUGAGCCUAAAACGUCCGUAGCCGGUCUUCUAAAUCCUUGGGUAAAUCGGGCAGCUUAACUGUCCGAAGUCCGGGGAGGCUGGGAGACUUGGGACCGGGAGAGGUCAGAGGUACUUCUGGGGUAGGGGUAAAAUCCUGUAAUCCUGGAAGGACCACCGGUGGCGAGGGCGUCUGACUAGAACGGAUCCGACGGUGAGGGACGAAGCCCUGGGGCGCAAACAGG
rnacentral:rRNA from 1 species